GAUGAACGCUAGCGGCAGGCCUAAUACAUGCAAGUCGAGGGAGAAUGUUGGAUUCGUCUGACAUGAAACCGGCGCACGGGUGCGUAACACGUAUGCAACCUACCUUUAACUGGGGUAUAGCCCAGAGAAAUCUGAAUUAAUCCCCCAUAAGACUACGACAUGGCAUCAUGAUGUAGUUAAAGCUCCGGCGGUUAAGGAUGGGCAUGCGGUCCAUUAGCUAGUUUGUGAGGUAAUGGCUCACCAAGGCUACGAUGUAUAGGGGGUCUGAGAGGAGGAUCCCCCGCACGGGUACUGAGACACGGACCAGACUCCUACGGGAGGCAGCAGUAGGGAAUAUUGGGCAAUGGACGCAAGUCUGAACCAGCCAUGCCGCGUGAAGGAUGAAGGCCCUAUGGGUCGUAAACUUCUUUUAGUAAGGAAGAAAAAACGGGAUGCGUCCUGUACUGACGGUACUUAAUGAAUAAGGAUCGGCUAACUUCGUGCCAGCCGCCGCGGUAA
rnacentral:rRNA from 1 species